AUUACUAAAGGAUAACAGUCCAUCCGUUGGUCUUAGGAACCAGAAACUCUUGGUGCAACUCCAAGUAGUAAUU
rnacentral:tRNA from 1 species